GGGCUUGUGGUUUAGGGGUAUAAUGCUCGCUUCGCAUGCUUAUAGCGAUUCUGCGAGAGGUCCCGGGUUCGAUUCCCGGCGAGUCCA
rfam:Penicillium decumbens strain IBT 11843 PENDEC_contig034, whole genome shotgun sequence.